rnacentral:rRNA from 1 species
CAGUAGCCGCGGGAAUACGAAUGGGGCUAGCGUUGUUCGGAUUUACUGGGCGUAAAGCGCACGUAGGCGGAUCGAUCAGUCAGGGGUGAAAUCCCAGAGCUCAACUCUGGAACUGCCUUUGAUACUGUCGAUCUGGAGUAUGGAAGAGGUGAGUGGAAUUCCGAGUGUAGAGGUGAAAUUCGUAGAUAUUCGGAGGAACACCAGUGGCGAAGGCGGCUCACUGGUCCAUUACUGACGCUGAGGUGCGAAAGCGUGGGGAACAAACAGGAUUCGAUACCCCAGUAGUCCCUGUCUCUUAUAC